rnacentral:tRNA from 1 species
GGGCCCAUAGUCCAGUGGUUAAGACGUCUGUUUCACGUACAGGAGAUCGCAAGUUCGACCCUUGCUGGGCCCA